CUUGUACUCCCUCUGUCCGAAAAUACCUGUCAUUGAAAUGGAUGUAUCUAGAUGUAUUUUAGUUCUAGACACAUCCAUUUUGAUGACAAGUAAUUCCGGACGGAGGGAGUACUUG
rnacentral:pre_miRNA from 1 species